GGCCCGCCCUCCCCGUCACGUGACGGGGGCGCGCACCAGGUGCACGAUGAUGGUGGCGCCGGCGCCCAGCGGCGGCGGGUAGAAAAUGGCGGAUUUCGAGGAGCUGCGGAAUAUGGUAUCAAGUUUUCGUGUUUCUGAACUGCAAGUGUUGCUGGGGUUUGCUGGACGGAACAAAAGCGGACGCAAACAUGACCUCCUGAUGAGGGCUCUGCACUUAGUGAAGAGCGGCUGCAGCCCGGCAGUUCAGAUCAAGAUCCGAGAGCUCUACAGGCGUCGGUACCCAAGGACGAUCGAGGGACUUUCAGACCUAUCGGCAAUAACGCCUGCGGCUUUCAACCUGGACAGUAGUUCCUCUCCUGUGGAGCCUGAUCUGGCUGUUUCUGGCAUUCACUCACUCCCUUCUACUUCGGUCACGCCUCAGUCUUCUUCUCCGCCUGUCAGGUCCGUGCUACUCCAAGAGACUAAGUCCCACUUUGAGAUGCAGCAGGCAUCCCCUCCAAUCCCACCCGUUCAUCCCGAUGUCCAGCUGAAAAGCUUACCUUUCUACGAUGUGCUUGAUGUGCUCAUAAAGCCCACGAGUCUAGUACAGAGCAGUAUUCAGCGUUUCCAAGAGAAGUUUUUUAUCUUUGCUUUAACACCUCAGCAAGUCAGAGAAAUCUGUAUUUCCAGGGACUUCUUGCCCGGAGGCAGGAGAGACUACACAGUCCAAGUUCAGCUAAGGUUAUGCCUAGCAGAGACAAGCUGCCCUCAAGAAGAUAAUUAUCCUAAUAGUUUGUGCAUUAAAGUAAAUGGGAAGCUGUUUCCAUUGCCGGGAUAUGCUCCACCACCAAAAAAUGGAAUUGAACAGAAGCGACCUGGCCGUCCCUUGAAUAUCACAUCUCUAGUUAGGCUGUCAUCAGCAGUGCCAAACCAGAUUUCCAUUUCCUGGGCUUCUGAAAUUGGGAAGAGUUACUCCAUGUCUGUAUAUCUUGUCCGUCAGCUCACGUCGGCUAUGCUUCUGCAGAGGUUAAAACUGAAAGGUAUCAGAAACCCCGACCAUUCCAGAGCACUAAUUAAAGAAAAGCUAACUGCAGAUCCUGAUAGUGAGAUUGCCACAACCAGUCUGCGGGUAUCUCUGAUGUGUCCUCUGGGAAAAAUGAGACUGACAAUCCCCUGCCGGGCUGUGACUUGCACACACCUGCAAUGUUUUGAUGCUGCUCUUUACCUUCAAAUGAAUGAAAAGAAGCCUACCUGGAUCUGCCCUGUCUGUGACAAAAAGGCAGCUUACGAGAGCCUAAUACUAGAUGGGCUCUUUAUGGAAAUCCUUAAUGAAUGUUCAGAUGUGGAUGAGAUCAAAUUCCAAGAAGAUGGCUCCUGGUGCCCCAUGAGGCCAAAGAAAGAAGCUGUGAAAGUCUCAAGUUCUCAGUGCACCACAAUAGAAAGUUCCAGUGUUGUCAGCAAACCCUGUUCUGUGACAGUGGCCAGCGAGGCUAGCAAGAAGAAAGUUGACGUUAUCGACCUGACAACAGAAAGCUCUUCUGAUGAAGAGGAUGAUCCUCCUAUCAAAAGGAAGUGCAUUUACAUGUCUGAAAUACAUGGGAGCCCAACCAAAGGGGUUCUCAUGUACCAGCCAUCCACUGCCAGAGUGCCCAGCGUGACGACGGUCGAUGCUGCUGCUAUUCCUCCUUCAUUAACGGAGUACCCAGUACCAUUCCAUCACCCACCAAUAUCCAGUAUUUCAUCAGACUUGCCAGACAUACCCUAAAUGCCUAUGAUGUAUUCUUCAACACUGCUGCUAAAUAUCAGACAAAAGGUGGGGAUACUGAUUGUUUUCUAUCCUGGCUCCUUGAAAAGAACACUUGUAUAUAGGGACUCUGGGGGUUCUCUUGGCGGGCUGUAACAAACCCAGAGCCCAGGAAGUGGUGACUUGUGGUGACAGGUGUCACUUUGGCCUCCUGUACUUCCCCUCUCCCUGCUCCAUUGCCUGUUUCCAUGCCUCCCCUGCAACAUCUCUGGGUUUUUUCCUCUUCUUUCAGCACCAGUUUGGCAAUGAGAUGGAUAUCAUUCCCCUUGUUUCUCUGUCCAUUUUGGCUCCCUUACUGCUCCCUCCCUCCACUUCUCCCUUGUUAUGAAAUCAGCUGUCUUCUCAAAUUGGGUAGGAGAGUAAGCUGAGAGAAUGGAAGUCUAGAACUGUUGUCCAUCUGAAUCAACAGAAGUUCUAGGACAUGCAUGAACAAAAGAAGCUGCCAAUUCUGUAAAUGCAGCUGAGCGUUAAAUCUCCUCCAAAAUUUCUCUCUAAUGGAGAAGAGGAGGAGAGAUGUCACUGGCCAGAACAGAUCUGGAGGUAAGGGGAGAGGGAGGGAGGAAGUUUAUCAUUUCUUUCUGUUGGCAUAGCAAACACAAGGCCAAUAUUUAGAAACAAAACAAAAAAAAACGUGGUAAUUUCUCAUUGGUUUCAUAGUUCUAAACAUCUUGCCCUAAAUGCUUACACACUAAUGGUGUUUAAGAUGGACGCUAGUUGUCACUGCUCUUAGAGGAUAUACUUUGAACUACUUGUAGUUUCCUCUUCUUCAUUCCUUUCAUUUGUCUAGACACAAAACGGGGAUGAUAUUAGAAAUGUUUCCUUAUUGGCUGCCCGUGGGUGGAGGAAGAGACCUGCUGCUUGUUUUUGGACUUGUGCAUGUUGUGACUUUACUUCAUUCCAGCAUCUUUAAUGUGAUGACACUCUUCAUGUCCCAGUUUGGCCAAGUCAGGUCUGGAUUUUCUUUCGUUAAUCCCAGUUGAUUCGCAGUACUGUCCUCCUAUGUUUUUGGAUAGUCUCACCUCAACCUUAACAAGCAGCACGCCUGGCAGCAUCAUCACCUCAACCAG